rnacentral:rRNA from 1 species
GGUGAGUAACACGUGGAUAACCUACCUAUAAGACUUGGGAUAACUUCGGGAAACCGGAGCUAAUACCGGAUAAUAUUUUAAACCGCAUGGUUCAAAAGUGAAAGACGGUCUUGCUGUCACUUAUAGAUGGAUCCGCGCUGCAUUAGCUAGUUGGUAAGGUAACGGCUUACCAAGGCAACGAUGCAUAGCCGACCUGAGAGGGUGAUCGGCCACACUGGAACUGAGACACGGUCCAG